AAUAUGGCGCAAUGGAGGAAACUCUGACGCAGCGACGCCGCGUGAGCGAUGAAGGNCUNNGGAUCNUNAAGCUCUGUCCGUGGNNNNNAUGAUCGAAAGUUUUGACGGUACCCGAGGAGGAAGCCGCGGCUAACGACGUUCAAGCAGCCGCGGUGAUACGUAGGGGGCAAGCGUUGUCCGGAAUUAUUGGGCGUAAAGGGUGCGUAGGCGGCUUUUUAAGUCAGAUGUGAAAGACCACGGCUUAACCGUGGGGUUGCAUUUGAAACUGGAAGGCUUGAGUAUCGGAGAGGGUAGUGGAAUUCCCAGUGUAGCGGUGGAAUGCGUAGAUAUUGGGAGGAACACCAGUGGCGAAGGCGACUACCUGGACGAAAACUGACGCUGAGGCACGAAAGCGUGGGUAGCGAACA
rnacentral:rRNA from 1 species